rnacentral:lncRNA from 1 species
AUGUCGAUUUGCAGGUUUACCAACAGGGAGGUUAAUAAUCAGGAUCUGUAUUAUACAAACAACCAUGUGAACUUAAAAGCAGAUAUUUUUCUCAGAGUCUUCAAAUACCAGUCCAGCCAAGCUGACAUCUUGAUUUUAACCUGAUUUACAUAUGACAUCCUGUACCUUCGACUCAUUGGCCUAGUUUUUUUACACCUUGAGAGGAAGGCAAAGGAGGGACAAUCAGGUAAUCACCAUAUAAGAAGAAACUUAUGUGUCUGUUGAGUCCCUGUUGGUUAUCGUAGCAAGGAAAAACGUAGUUUGUAACAUACAGUGACUUAUGGUUAUACAAUUCCACUACGUAGGACAAUUUUUGACAAUAAUUUUGUUUUUAAAUGUGGUACCUUUUAAGUUCACAAACUUAUAAUUAGGAUCUUUAUACCCAUUUUCAUUCAAUUUUCUUAGAAUAUCCAUUCUUUCUAAAGUAUUCUUCAAAAUAUGUAAGUAAAUUGUUAUGGAAAGCAAAUCCCUUAUGUUUACUGCUUUGACAAGGCAGCGACUACAGCUUUUCUGCCUCCAAUAAAUCUCUCCGUAAACUCAGUAGUUACCAAAAGCUACCAUGUGAAGUGCCUUCUGGAAGAAAGUGACAAACUACUUAAAUUUUGGAUACAAGGAAGAAGGACGUCUUUACUUGUUUAGUUCUGGCUUUCAUCUUCUCAGAUGUUUGGCUCAUGGAAUUUCUUUUUUUGUUGGGGGGGGUGGAUUUUUCAAAUCCACUCACUUUA